GACGAACGCUGGCGGCGUGCCUAAUACAUGCAAGUUGAGCGAUGAAGAUUGGUGCUUGCACCAAUUUGAAGAGCAGCGAACGGGUGAGUAACGCGUGGGGAAUCUGCCUUUGAGCGGGGGACAACAUUUGGAAACGAAUGCUAAUACCGCAUAACAACUUUAAACAUAAGUUUUAAGUUUGAAAGAUGCAAUUGCAUCACUCAAAGAUGAUCCCGCGUUGUAUUAGCUAGUUGGUGAGGUAAAGGCUCACCAAGGCGAUGAUACAUAGCCGACCUGAGAGGAUGAUCGGCCACAUUGGGACUGAGACACGGCCCAAACUCCUUCGGGGGGCAGCAGUAGGGUAUGUUCGGCAAUGGACGAAAGUCUGACCGAGCAACGCCGCGUGAGUGAAGAAGGGUUUCGGAUCGUAAAACUCUGUUGGUAGAGAAGAACGUUGGUGAGAGUGGAAAGCUCAUAAAGUGACGGUAACUACCCAGAAAGGGACGGCUAACUACGUG
rnacentral:rRNA from 1 species